rnacentral:rRNA from 1 species
GACCAAGUCAUUAAGGGCAGAUGACGGAUGUCUUGGCGUCAAGAGGCGAUGAAGGACGUAGGAACCUGCGAUAAGCCUAGAGGAGCUGGUAACCGAGCUUUGAUUCUAGGAUCUCCGAAUGGGGCAACCCGACCCUUUGGGUCAUCGAUAUCUGAAUGUAUAGGGUAUCGAAGCGAACCUAGCGAACUGAAACAUCUUAGUAGCUAGAGGAAAGGAAAGCAACCGCGACUCCGUUAGUAGCGCCGAGCGAAAGCGGAUCAGCCAGAUUGCGGCGUGAACGAGCUGUGAAAGCUCGACCAUAGAAGGUGAUAGUCCUGUAAUGCCGUUGCUGGUGAGGCCUUGAGUAGAGUCGGACUCGUGAAAUCCGGCUUGAACAUGGGGGGACCACCCUCCAAGCCUAAGUACUACUUGACGACCGAUAGUGAACCAGUAAGGCGACUGAACGAUGAAAAGUACCCCGAUAAGGGGAGUGAAAAGUACCUGAAAUCAUCUGCCUACACAGCGGUCGGAGCCCCUUCGGGGGUGACGGCGUGCCUUUUGCAUAAUGAGCUGGCGAGUUACUCUUUGCGGCAAGACUAAGCCGAAUCCCGGCGGAGUCGUAGGGAAACCGAGUCUUAAAAGGGCGCCGAGUCGCAGGGGGUAGACGCGAAACCGGUUGAUCUACCCAUGGGCAGGUUGAAGGGAGGGUAAUGCCUCCUGGAGGACCGAAGCCGUGAACGUUGAAAAGUUCUGGCAUGA